rnacentral:lncRNA from 1 species
UUCUUGAGCUGGUGAACUCAGAUUGAAGUUCUGAACAAAUUUCAUGAAGAGAUCGAAGAGAGUAGUUGAAGUUUUUAUGUGGAACGGAGCUCUCGCCGGAUUCUGGAAUUUUUCCGGCCACCGAGACUUUCGAUCAUGAUAUCUCUAGUUUUAGAGCAUCUUUUUGAUUGAUUCUUGAACCAGUGAGUUCACCUUGAAGUUCUUAACAACUCUCCAGAAGGGAUCGAGGCCUGAUAUUGAAGUUUUUACGUCGAAAUCGAGCUCGCCGUUUCUGCAUUUCCUUGCCGGUUUCUGGAAAAUUUCCGGCCACCUCGACUGUUCUAGGUGAUUGACGGUCUUCCUUGGUGAGCGGUUUUGGUGUGUAUUGUGAAAUUGAAGACGCAGCGGGAUUAGAGUGGAGAUGCUGCACGGCGGGUAAUCCUACAGGUCAGGAGAAUCGAGAAGGUGAUCAGGCUGCUUAGAGUAGUGGUAUUUGAGUUACAGCUUUAUUGUGAGGUUGUUAUGCACAUUGAGCUUACAUUUAAAUUUGGGGAGAGUGUGUUGUAAUAUUAAACUCUUGAGGAUUUGGUUUAUGUAUUAACGAGUGAGGCGAGGUGUGUUUAUUUCUGAGAAAAAAAUUCAG